GUACUUUAACCAAACCGAGUUCAAAAAUACUUCAUAAAUAAUCAUAGUGAAGUAAAAUUCAAGAAUGAUCAAAACAUGGAUACAAUCAAAGCUAGUAUCCAUAAUAGAUAACUUGGACAAAAAUGAAAAUUUAAUUUUUCUGUGAAUAAUGUCGUAUUCAUGAAUAGUGUCGUAUACGUGAAUAGUGCCGUAUACGUGAAUAGUAACCCCGACACUAAAAGAC
rnacentral:lncRNA from 1 species